GUAACCCUGGGGAUUAAGGGUCAGGAAAACCCCGCUAAAAUUUAACCUUUAAUUAAACCGGGGGAAUUUCUACUAUAUGUAAUUGAAUACA
rnacentral:rRNA from 1 species